GACGAACGCUGGCGGCGUGCCUAAUACAUGCAAGUAGAACGCUGAAACUUGGUGCUUGCACCGAGCGGAUGAGUUGCGAACGGGUGAGUAACGCGUAGGUAACCUGCCUGGUAGCGGGGGAUAACUAUUGGAAACGAUAGCUAAUACCGCAUAAGAGUAGAUGUUGCAUGACAUUUGCUUAAAAGGUGCAAUUGCACCACUACCAGAUGGACCUGCGUUGUAUUAGCUAGUUGGUGGGGUAACGGCUCACCAAGGCGACGAUACAUAGCCGACCUGAGAGGGUGAUCGGCCACACUGGGACUGAGACCCGGCCCAGACUCCUUCGGGAGGCAGCAGUAGGGAAUCUUCGGCAAUGGGCGGAAGUCUGACCGAGCAACGCCGCGUGAGUGAAGAAGGUUGUCGGAUCGUAAAGCUCUGUUGUAAGAGAAGAACGAGUGUGAGAGUGGAAAGUUCACACUGUGACGGUAUCUUACCAGAAAGGGACGGCUAACUACGUG
rnacentral:rRNA from 1 species